UGCGGCCUGUUAUGUAUUUUAGCCGUGUUACUAGGAAGGAAGAGAGUGUGUAUCAUAGUUAAGAGCUCAAAACCUGGCGGUC